AUCCAACUGACGAGUCCCAAAUAUGACGAAACACGCGUCCUGGAU
rfam:Schistosoma rodhaini strain Burundi genome assembly, scaffold: SROB_scaffold0007002